rnacentral:rRNA from 1 species
AACGAACGCUGGCGGCGUGGAUAAGACAUGCAAGUCGAACGGGACAACAUCUGUAGCAAUACAGGUGUUGUUUAGUGGCGAACGGGUGCGUAACACGUGGGCAAUCUGCCGAGAAGUGGGGAUAGCUCGCCGAAAGGCGAAUUAAUACCGCAUAUGAUCAGUGAAGACAUCUUCACGACAUCAAAGCCGGGGCAACCUGGCGCUUCUUGAUGAGCCCGCGGCCUAUCAGCUAGUUGGUGAGGUAACGGCUCACCAAGGCUUUGACGGGUAGCUGGUCUGAGAGGACGACCAGUCACACUGGAACUGAGACACGGUCCAGACACCUACGGGU